UUUUUCGACUUUUGCUGAACCUCGAUUUUUUGUGUUUAGGUUACACACAUGGUUCAUUUUUCAAAGCGGCCUAAUUAAUGAAAUUCUCAGUACCUAAAAUCAACAGAAUUCAAUGAAUUAAUCCCCAUGAACUCUUCUAAUUCGAAGGCAUAUGACUUAGUACCCUAACAUGUCAAAACCCAACAACAAAACUAUGCUUAAUCGAUAGAAACACUUACCCUCGAGACAGCGAUCCACACAAUCACUCUGUCGGAUGAGCACCCACUGACGCACAAUUCACACCUAGAUAUUAGUAAACACAGACCAAGAAAAAUUAAAAGGAAACCCUUCAACACCAUCAAAAAUCCCCAACCAUUCAUCUAAUCCAUAAAGAAACUUAAGCCAACUACGCACUUACCAAACAACAACCACGAAACUCAACGACAGAGACGACCAAAUAACACUUGAAUUUUGUUUGGAUUAGAAAGGUAAAAGGAUCAAAAAGUAAAA
rnacentral:lncRNA from 1 species